AUACGUAGGUGACAAGCGUUAUCCGGAUUUACUGGGCGUAAAGGGCGUGUAGGCGGUCUUGCAAGUCAGAAGUGAAAUUCCUGAGCUCAACUCGGGCGCUGCUUCUGAAACUGCAGGACUUGAGUGCUGGAGGGGAUAGCGGAAUUCCUAGUGGAGCGGUAAAAUGCGCAAAUAUUAGGAAGAACACCGGUGGCGAAGGCGGCUAUCUGGACAGUAACUGACGCUGAGGCGCGAAAGCGUGGGGAGCAAACGGGAUUAGAUACCCUGGAAGUCCACGCCGUAAACGAUGAAUACUAGGUGUAGGGGGUAUCGACUCCCUCUGUGCCGCAGUUAACACAAUAAGUAUUCCGCCUGGGGAGUACGGCCGCAAGGUUGAAACUCAAAGGAAUUGACGGGG
rnacentral:rRNA from 1 species